UUUUCUCUGUUUUUCCUUCCCGUUUCCCCCCUCCCCCCUUUUUCCUUUCUUCUCUUUCCUUUUUUUUCAAUUAUAUGAUUCUAACUGAUUUUUUUCCCUUGUUAGAAUUGGUCUGGAUAUGAAGCUACUAAACGCAUGAGACACAGAAAUCAUCUUAAUUGAUCUUGCAGGUGAAAUAUUAGAAAUCUCUGGGUUUUCAGUUCCCUCGCAGCUGAAGCGCGGCCAGUUUAUUCGAGCAAAGAGGCUAAUUUUUCCGAGAAAAGCGCAGGCGAGUCCAACGAAGGUUUCUGCAUCUUCGGAUGAUAAUGGAAGCCCUCCCAAAUCCUUUGAUUACGAUCUCAUCAUUAUUGGCGCUGGCGUCAGUGGUCAUGGAGCUGCACUGCAUGCCGUAAAAAAGUACCACUCAAGAAUGCCUCUGCCAUUUGAUUAACAAAACUACGUGUUUAUUUAUGUGGGAAGCAGAAUCGGCCACCCUUGAAGCUUUAUCAAGAUCAAAGCCUUGAAGCGUAUGACCCUGGAUACUAGAUUUUGCACUAACUGUAGCUAUCUGAUCUUUGCAUUACCUGCUGUAUAUGUAUGUCAGCUCUUGAUGCAUUAUAUCUCACGCGGAUGGUGUUAUCAUAAUAUUUUUAUUUGGUUUAAAAUCUUGUGUAACUGGAUGAGUUAUUUUGUGCCAAGAGUUUGACCAUCCCUUUUGCUACUGA